rnacentral:lncRNA from 1 species
GCAAGGAGGAUGGAGACUGGGUCAUCGUGAUGUCACAUCUGACACCUGACAUUGGAAACGUAAAAAGAAAUAUCCUUCUCCAGCAGCUGCCUUAACACAGCCUGAGCCCUGGAGGAGUCCAGCUCACAAGGAAGCA